rnacentral:lncRNA from 1 species
AGCUCCUUGGUGUGUUUGAUGUUUUAAAGACCUAUCAGUGACAACGCAGCAAUACAGAAGAGUCUCUCAGACUACAAAGGAAUCUGGAAGGAUUUGAUAGCUGAGGCUUUUCUUGUCGCAAGAACAAAGGCAACUACUGCUCAGAUUUUCUGUGUCCUGCAAGCUUUGGAGAAGGUGAUGAGCAGAGGGUGCCCUCCACCAGAACAGCGAGCCCUGCAUCCUCUGGGUGUCCAUCUGUCCAUCCUGCAUAGCCCUGCGGUGCUAUUGCAGGGGAGGAGCAGACCAGGUGUCCCAGACAAGGUUUGCAAACCAGGACGUGACUGCACCCAGCCUGCGCCCGGCACGUGCAGCUGUUCAAUGUCUACGGUGUGGGAUUAAAAUAGCCAGCGUGCUCCUUGUGUCCCACAGCUCUCUGCUUUGCAAAGCUGGAGCCCUGCAGCAGCCUUCUCCCACAGCCCCACCGAGGGACACCCCUGGGCCAAGGGCACUGCAUGGUGAAGGCAUGCACUUGUAUGGGGCCUGCAGAGCUCCGGGCUGUGCCCUUGGGGACUGGCUGUUCGUGGGCUUAUUUCAGUUUUUGGAGACUGGAGUUAGCAGAGUUUCAUGGGAACGCUUUAUACUUCUGCUGUACGUUUGGUUCAGUAUUUUCUAACAGUUCUAAAUCAGUUACUCAUUUAACCCAGGCUGAGUAAUGAGACUUUGAUAGGCUGAAAUUUUGGCCUCGGAGCAAUAAAGUCUUUCUAAAUACUGCAGAAGCCGAAAUAUUUAUUUUUGGCUUUGUUCACUGUCUGAAGUGAUGAAAGGAUUCUUUCAGGCAGCUGUUCUCUGCGUCUUGUAAAGUUGGCUGCCCCACAGAGAGGGAGAAAAAGAUGCUCCCCUGACCUUCCGACGCUCUCUGUGAGCCUCAUGCUUCAUAUAGAGCCUCUUCUGCUGACCUCCCCGGAGCCAGAGACCACUUGGAUGUCACCGUCUUGGGCUGUCACCUUCCAACACACACUGCUGCCCAAGGAGGGAGAAGCUCAUUCUGUCAUUAAGGCUUGGGGGAGCCUGGAUCUGCUCCUCUGUCGCAGGUUUCUUAUGUGAGGCCAGAUAGACUGUUUGGGUGCUGUGUAUGGAAUUAAAGAAUAACAGGAGCUGGCAGAAAGGUGCGUGGGCUCAUGUCCCAGGCCUAUGCAGUGCUGGACCUUGGUGACUGUGGAAGGAUGUGACUGUGGAAGGAUGGAGCAGAGCAGUGCUGACCCCAUUGCAGGGACAACACUGUAUCUCUGGGGCUCUUUGGCGUUGGUUCCCUCUCACCAAGCACGGGUCCGUAUUGUGGAGACAAUGAAGAUAGAAGCAAAGGGUGAACGUGGAGACCAACUUCUCCCAUUUCAGGUUGUGCCUUCCAGUAAUUUUCAUAGAAUCACAGAAUGGUUUGAGUUGGAAGGGACCUCUGAAUGCCGUCUGGUCCCACUGCCUGCACUGAGCAGGGACACCCACAGCUCCAUCAGUGCUCAGAGCCCCAUCCAGCCUGACUGUGGGUGUGUGCAGGGAUGGGGCACCGCUACCUCUCUGGGCACCCCGUGCCAUUCCUCACCAUCCUCAGUGUAUUACUGUGCCCUUAUUUUGGGGAUGUUUUCCAGGAAAGCACUGCCUGUCGCUGCCAACCUGGUAGCUCCUCUUCUGCCCUGCUGGGGCUGUUGGCUUACAAUCAACUUCAUGUGGAAAUUAUUUUUAACAAAUAUUUCUUAUGGAAAUAUUCUAUUUACAGCAUGUGCUAAAAGCAUAAAACGUGAGAAGGCAGAUUUGGGCACUGUAUUAUUAUUAUUUUUUUUUCCUCAAGGACUCAGGGAAUAUUUUGCACAGAUAUUUUAAACAGCUGUUAUAUUUAGCAAGUCUAAGCUUGAUACGAGAAGUAAAUAAAUCAAAGCAGCAAACACAACAGAAGAAAAAGAGAAGCCACAAUGCAGGUUUUGAGCCUGUCCAAAACGCGUGGGUUUGGAAUACAUUUGUAUUUGGAAAUGCAGCAUCUCGGAAGCAGUGCAGGUGGGUGAAGGGUUUGAAGCAUUGUGCUGCUCUAACACAGCACUGAAAGCUGAUAAGGAUGGAAAAUGGUGUUUUUCUGGAGGUUAAUUGGAAUUUAAGUGGAAUGGACCUCAGAAGCAUCACAGUGUGCUGAUGCUGCUCUGGGAUUUGUAGUCAAAUAGCCUUUGUAGUCCUUGUGUUGUCCUGGUGGGUUUCUCCAAUCUGGGCAACUGAGAGCCUGUGGCUACAAGAUACCAACCUAAGGUGUUUGGAAGAUGCCCUGCAGGGCUGUUAUGGGGAUAGCAGCGCCUUGCAAGUCACUUCUCAACAGAAGGCCGAGGAGAUGAGGUGUGGACAUCAGAGCACAGGGCAGGACGGAGGCUGAGCACAGCAGAACUGA